AGAGUUUGAUCAUGGCUCAGGAUGAACGCUGGCGGCGUGCUUAACACAUGCAAGUCGAACGGUGAAAGAGAGCUUGCUCUCUGGAUCAGUGGCGAACGGGUGAGUAACACGUGAGCAAUCUGCCCCUGACUCUGGGAUAAGCGCUGGAAACGGCGUCUAAUACCGGAUACGAGCUGCGAAGGCAUCUUCAGCGGCUGGAAAGAACUUCGGUCAGGGAUGAGCUCGCGGCCUAUCAGCUAGUUGGUGAGGUAACGGCUCACCAAGGCGUCGACGGGUAGCCGGCCUGAGAGGGUGACCGGCCACACUGGGACUGAGACACGGCCCAGACUCCUACGGGAGGCAGCAGUGGGGAAUAUUGCACAAUGGGCGAAAGCCUGAUGCAGCAACGCCGCGUGAGGGACGACGGCCUUCGGGUUGUAAACCUCUUUUAGCAGGGAAGAAGCGAAAGUGACGGUACCUGCAGAAAAAGCACCGGCUAACUACGUGCCAGCAGCCGCGGUAAUACGUAGGGUGCAAGCGUUAUCCGGAAUUAUUGGGCGUAAAGAGCUCGUAGGCGGUCUGUCGCGUCUGCUGUGAAAACCCGAGGCUCAACCUCGGGCCUGCAGUGGGUACGGGCAGACUAGAGUGCGGUAGGGGAGAUUGGAAUUCCUGGUGUAGCGGUGGAAUGCGCAGAUAUCAGGAGGAACACCGAUGGCGAAGGCAGAUCUCUGGGCCGUAACUGACGCUGAGGAGCGAAAGGGUGGGGAGCAAACAGGCUUAGAUACCCUGGUAGUCCACCCCGUAAACGUU
rnacentral:rRNA from 1 species